CACGGGGGGAGCAAGCGUUGUUCGGAAUCACUGGGCGUAAAGGGCGUGUAGGCGGUCAAGUAAGUGGGAUGUGAAAUCCCUCGGCUCACCCGAGGACCUGCAUCCCAAACUGCUUGGCUUGAGUAUGGGAGAGGAUGAGGGAAUUCCUGGUGUAGCAGUGAAAUGCGUAGAUAUCAGGAGGAACACCGGUGGCGAAGGCGCUCAUCUGGCCCAAUACUGACGCUGAGGCGCGAAAGCUAGGGGAGCAAACGGG
rnacentral:rRNA from 1 species